UGGUUUAUGACUCUGAUGGCAUAAUCCUCAGAAUGACUCCUUCCUACCAUGUCAAGGUGAUGACAAUCCCCUGAAAGUAGACAUCCCAUACAAAUGACUCCAUAAAAUGGGAAUUGAAUAAAUAAAUCUGAUGCAUGUCUGAACUCAGAAAUAUAUUCCACUGAAUAUAUUUAAUCUCAAGAAAAUUUCCUUCAUGAUAUACUCAGUAAGAAGCCAGCAUCUUCAACUGAAACACCCUUUGGAAUAAACAUUGAUAUAUUCAUGUGGGGACCGAAGGCUAUGAUUGUACUAUUUGGAAAGUUGUUGACAAAGGAAAGGAGGAAUAGAACAAUAGGUGACAGCAAGGCAUGCCAAAGAAACUUUGAUCUGCGAAGUCAGCUUUUAUUUAUAUAUAUACAGGAGAGGAUGGUUAGAAGGAAGAAAUCAAUUCAUCCACUGAAUAUCUCUAAAUCAGUCUGCUUAGCUUCAUAGAGAGUUGUCAUGAUAACUUACUAUUUUCUGGAACAAUCAACAACAGCACCAAUGUUUUCUUCACCACAAGGACCACAUUGCUGUAUCAAAUAUUCUUUGGUUUGGGGAAAAAAAACCCAGAUUGGAACGCAUGUGUAAAGAUUAAAGGAAGGAAAAAAUUACAGAACAUUAUCCCUUCUUAUAUUUUAUCCUGUAUCGAGAUUGUGUUUUGUUUGACAAUGAGGGAACAGGGAGAAAAUAGAUUCAGAAAAAUGUAGAACUGUGGUUAGGAUUUUGAAAUGGGAUGUAUGAUCUGAGCAGGGAAAAAUGGUUGAAAAUUAGAAUCAUAUUAGAAAAGGAGACCACCAAAGCUACAAGAACUAACUUCUAGGGAUGUGAAAAUAUAAUUUGUGUAACUUUUCAUCAACUUAAAAUUUGGCUAUAGGCUUCUAGUAUUAUAUUUUAAAAUUUGCGAUAUGACACAUCCUUUAUAAUUCUCUUCAAACUUGACGUUCUACUACUUUCCAUGUACCCUGGAAAAACAUGUGAUUAAAACAUUUGAUACUGAAUUAAGUUUGGAAGACUUCAUCCCAAGUCUGCAAAACAACAGCAAAGUCUAUAUAGCAAUCAUUUGCAAUUUUAUUUAUGCAAUCUAAUUUUAAACUUUUUUUAACAUAUCAGAACUUUUUUUUAAUUUAUAUAGCUUUUAAUGAAAACUCUGCAGUGGUGCCCUAUAGAUAGUCGUAUAGUUUUGAGCAAGUGAACCAGUUUGAAUUUUAAUAAGAUUCUGUUCUGCAUCUGCUGUGAUAUUUAACACCAAGGAGAGCUAAUGCUAAUGAAAAAAAGUCAUAAAUUUCAAUAGACAUUAUUCCACAUUAGCUAAUUGGACUGUGCACUUCAGGGUAUAUACUGAGGGCAGGCGGGUGGGAGAGACACCAAGAUGGCGGGUGUGAUAUUGUGAUCAAAGCCCUGUUUUUUUCUGUGUGUCUUGUUGCACUCCUAUCUUGAUCUUCCUUCGAGACAAAAGCAGAAUUCUGACAUAUAGUCAUACUAUACAUUCCACAAAAAACACUAGUUCUGGAAUAUUAUUUUACAUUAAAAGCAGCUCCAUAUGAGCAGUUCUUCCUGCAACUGAUAACCAAAUAAAUUAAAACUAAUCAUACUGAACAAGAUCUUUUCUCUCAAAAGUCCACAGGCAACAAAGUCAAUAUCAGUCCUUCACAUUUUCUAGUUUCAGGAUAAUAAAGAGGUUCAACUUCCAACUAACGUUUCCAAUUCCUUUACCUUUCUUUUUGCAGCUAGAUUAUAAUUUAUGUUCACUAAAUCAUAAUCUAGUUGCAGUACCACUUGCUACUGGCUGCAUCAAAACUCUGCUUAUUAAUGCUAGUAUUAUAUAAAUUUGAAUGACAUCACACCCAUUUCCCAUUCAGUCUCCUUACAAGGCCAAUAUUGUACAUUCAGCAAGCUGUCAAAAAUGCUAAAAAUGGCCAGAGAGCAAUUCUAACCGGAAGGUAGGUCUUGACUUGUUACAGGGGCCUAGUUGCUGGAAAGGAGCCUAAAAAAAUAGCAAUUUAAAAGGGGAAGAAAAAAAAAGUAAGACUUUUUGGAGAAGGCAGAUCUUAAAAUUUCAACCAUCUUACAUUUAAUUGUAGGCUAACUGCAUUUUUUUGUAGGGGCAGUAAGAAGCAUGUAAUUGAUCUAAUCAGAUCAGCAGAGCAAGGGAGUAUUUUGUAAUGUAUUUGAAUUUUUGCAGGGAAAUUUGGGUGGGAAAAUGCACGUUCCUGAUUGGCUGGUGCCUCAGC